rnacentral:rRNA from 1 species
UGCUUGCACUGGUCAAUCUAGUGGCGAACGGGUGAGUAACACGUGGGUAACCUGCCCAUCAGAGGGGGAUAACAUUCGGAAACGGAUGCUAAAACCGCAUAGGUCCUUUAACCGCAUGGUUGAAGGAGGAAAAGAGGCGCAAGCUUCUGCUGAUGGAUGGACCCGCGGUGCAUUAGCUAAUUGGUGAGGUAACGGCUCACCAAGGCCGUGAUGCAUAGCCGACCUGGGAGGGUGAUCGGCCACAUUGGGACUGAGACACGGCCCAAACUCCUACGGGAGGCAGCAGUAGGGAAUCUUCCGCAAUGGACGCAAGUCUGACGGAGCAACGCCGCGUGAGUGAAGAAGGUUUUCGGAUCGUAAAACUCUGUUGUUAGAGAAGAACAAGUGCUAGAGUAACUGUUAGCGCCUUGACGGUAUCUAACCAGAAGGCCACGGCUAACUACGUGCCAGCAGCCGCGGUAAUACGUAGGUGGCAAGCGUUGUCCGGAUUUAUUGGGCGUAAAGCGAGCGCAGGCGGUUCCUUAAGUCUGAUGUGAAAGCCCCCGGCUCAACCGGGGAGGGUCAUUGGAAACUGGGGAACUUGAGUGCAGAAGGGGAGAGUGGAAUUCCAUGUGUAGCGGUGAAAUGCGUAGAUAUAUGGAGGAACACCAGUGGCGAAGGCGACUCUCUGGUCUGUAACUGACGCUGAGGCUCGAAAGCGUGGGUAGCAAACAGGAUUAGAUACCCUGGUAGUCCACGCCGUAAACGAUGAGUGCUAAGUGUUGGAGGGUUUCCGCCCUUCAGUGCUG